UGGGGAAUCUUGCGCAAUGGGCGAAAGCCUGACGCAGCCAUGCCGCGUGAAUGAUGAAGGUCUUAGGAUUGUAAAAUUCUUUCACCGGGGACGAUAAUGACGGUACCCGGAGAAGAAGCCCCGGCUAACUUCGUGCCAGCAGCCGCGGUAAUACGAAGGGGGCUAGCGUUGCUCGGAAUUACUGGGCGUAAAGGGAGCGUAGGCGGACAUUUAAGUCAGGGGUGAAAUCCCGGGGCUCAACCUCGGAAUUGCCUUUGAUACUGGGUGUCUUGAGUAUGAGAGAGGUGUGUGGAACUCCGAGUGUAGAGGUGAAAUUCGUAGAUAUUCGGAAGAACACCAGUGGCGAAGGCGACACACUGGCUCAUUACUGACGCUGAGGCUCGAAAGCGUGGGGAGCAAACAGGAUUAGAUACCCUGGUAGUCCACGCCGUAAACGAUGAUUGCUAGUUGUCGGGAUGCAUGCAUUUCGGUGACGCAGCUAACGCAUAAGCAAUCCGCCUGGGAGA
rnacentral:rRNA from 1 species